CUUAGUCAAGUACCGUAUAACGUCCGGCACAUAUGCGGUAUAUUUUCGUUCCAGCGGAAAGUACUGCAUAUAAACGGACUUAGAAGUAAUAUUAUGCGUGACAAUAGCUGCGGUGGCAGGCUAGGCCUGCUAUAUGUGGCCGCGAGCGGACGCAACGUUUAUAUGCCGCCCAGCAAAUUUGGCGCGCAAAAAGCGCCCCGAAGCGUUGAGAGAGCGUUACAAAGCAAAAGCUGCAAGGAGCGGUACAUUGCAUUGUACAGAUGCAUUGAGGGAGAAAGAAAAGCGAAAGGCCAAAAGAAAGAACCUAGAGAAAGAAGUCCAUGCUACCGCGCUGCUUUGAUGGCAUUGGAGGAGGAAAACCUGCGCUGGCCGGGAAGGAGCAAGAACAUGGCGUAUGUCGGCGGACGAGAAUUGUUUUCGGCGGUAAUUAUCGUCAUAUCUUUGUACUGGCCACGUAAUGCGACUGUGUUCGUGUUGUGAAGUGAUCUGGCCGCGUCGUCGAAAGCUCUCGGUGAUGUGAGUGAUGUUCAAAUCCACUGUUGUUACCGGAAAUUGCAAAAAGGCAGUACAACUUCGACAACUCGUGCGAGUACGACGACCACACGGGCGGUCAGCGGCGGCGGACCGCCAUGUGCGCUGGAUCGGAGGGCCCAGGAGUGCGUGCUGUAGUGCUGCGAACGUGUGCCUAUUUGGAUUAAAGUGGGAAGUCAACACUAAUAAGAACGCCACCAAAGAAAGCAGAACCCCUGGCUCUCCAGUGGAACUUUAGAGUGGACCACCCCACCGGUAUGACGGUCACAUGCAGGCCCAGGAGUCAUCAGGACAAAUAACUCUGAACAUAUAUGAAAGUUAUCUAAUGUGUUUGUGAUGACGAAGCAAUUAUGUGAAAAUGAAACACUUA